rnacentral:rRNA from 1 species
AUUUAAUAGUAUUUUUUAGAUUAAAUUUUAUUUGAAAUUCAAUAAUGAAAUUUAAGAUCAUUGGCGGUGUUUUAUUAAAUUCUGAGAAUCUUGUUUGAUUAAAAUGAUAUUACACAAUUUAUCUUUUCUUAAAAUUAUUUUGCUUAUGUAUUGCUGUUUAAUUUAUUAGUUAAGAUAUUUUAAUAAUAGAUAGAAUUGUUUUUUAAUAAAGAAUUCAAGUCAAAAUGUAGUUUUUUAAGGUUUAAAUGAGUUGCUUUUUUCUAGAAAGUUUAGGGAUAAAAAUAAAAUUGAAAUGAUUUUAGAAGAAGAAGGAUUAGGUUGUAAAAAAAAAUUAAUUAGUUUUUUUGAUAGAUUUUAUGAAUGAGU